rnacentral:sRNA from 1 species
UAGGGAUUGAAGCGAAAAUCCUUUUGUGGAGCCUGCGGAACAAAAGAUUGCAGCGUAAAGCCCGGCCGAAG